UUUCCGUAGGUGAACCUGCGGAAGGAUCAUUAGCGAGUAUGGCCCUCACGGGUCUAAUCCACCAUAAACACCUUUGUGAACCAGUCAGGGGGACUCGGCCGUGAAAGCCCAGGCGAUUAGCGGAAGGGCCCUCCUUUGCAAACCCGUUUAGAAGUCUUGAAAGUACUUUUGUAUAAUCUAGUAAAACUUAUAGCAACGGAUCUCUUGGCUCUCGCAUCGAUGAAGAACGCAGC
rnacentral:misc_RNA from 1 species